GUGUCCCUUCCAGUGCCACCUACGUCCAGCUGCAUUUUCUCAGAACUCUGAUCUUACAGGGCACAUUCGAACCCACACAGGAGAGCGUCCCUUUUCCUGUGACCACUGCAAUGCAUCCUUUUCACAGAAACACCACCUCUUGUACGAUGUGUUCUGUCGUCAUGCAAAAAAGAAGCCAUAAAAAGUUCCGUGUCUUCGGCGUCCCAUGAGCAGUACCAUUCAUUCGUGUCUACACAAGGUGGACUGCAUUCCUGUCGUCAAUGCAGCUAUGUGACCAAGUACAAGAAAGACAUGAAAAGACACCUUUGCAAACAUACGGGCGAGUAUCCCUUCCAGUGCCACCUGUGUCCAGCUGCAUUCUCUCAGAAAGGUCAUCUUACAGUUCACAUUCGCACUCACACAGGAGAGCGUCCUUUCUCCUGUGACCAAUGCAGUGCAUCUUUUACACAGAAGCAGCACCUCGUGGAACACAAGCGCACCCACACUGGGGAGCGUCCCUUUUCCUGUGACCGCUGCUGUGCAUCAUUCUCAUGGAAAAAGACCCUCCUGGAACACAUGCGCACCCACACAGGAGAGCGACCCUUUUCUUGUGACCACUGCCAUGCGUCCUUU
rnacentral:lncRNA from 1 species